UACAGAGGGUGCGAGCGUUAUCCGGAAUCACUGGGCGUAAAGGGCGCGUAGGCGGCCUGGUAAGCGGGUGGUGAAAGCCCGGGGCUCAACCCCGGGUCUGCCGUGCGAACUGCCGGGCUCGAGCACGGUAGAGGCGGGUGGAAUUCCCGGUGUAGCGGUGGAAUGCGUAGAGAUCCGGAAGAACACCGGUGGCGAAGGCGGCCCGCUGGGCUGUUACUGACGCUGAGGCGCGACAGCGUGGGGAGCAAACAGG
rnacentral:rRNA from 1 species